AUGCCAGAGGCCUUGGGUAGAAUUUACACAGAAUGUCAACGCUGGAGGGGACCCAAGAGAGGAGCCAGGCCGAUCCUAGCCGCCCCUGUCAGGAAAACGGAGACUCUGACAGGGAAGUCCCAUGUUCAAGGUCACAGAGAUCUAGUGAACUGUGAGCAAGCAGGGCUGGGAAGGACACAGGCCCCGAGAGGCCAGGCUGACAGAGAGAGAAGAGACGGGGAGAAGAGAGAGGACAGGCAGACAGGGAGAGACAGAGACAGAGGGAGGGAAGAGGGGAGAGAAGAGAGGAGAGACAGACAGAGGGAGAGACAGACAGACAGAGAGGUAGAGAAAAGAGGGGAGAGGAGAGACAGACAGAGGGAGAGAAAAGAGGGGAGAGAAGAGAGGAGAGACAGACAGGGAGAGACAGAGACAGAGGGAGAGAAAAGAGGAAGAGAGACACACCCAGGGAGAGACACAUAGAGACAGAGAUAGAGACACACAGAGGGAGAAAGAGACAGAGACACAGACAGAGAGACAGACACAGGAAGCCUGGCCUUUGGCAGGUGCUUAAUUCUCACACAGAAGUCUGGCCACAGACUAGGGCAGAGCAAACUGGCCCCCCACAGGAAGUCUAACCUCAGGCUUAUUAACCCCCAUUAGGAAGCUAUGGAGCCAAAGGAAAGUCCCCAGGCUAGAGCCCAGAAUGCACUGCAGACCCCCAGAAGGCCAUGAUAGCAGCUAGAGUUGGGGGGUGUCUUAGAACUGGGGGGUCAGGGCUAGGAGGCGCCUGAGAGACAAUCGGGCGCAAUUCCUCAGAUGUGGGGGGGCAACGUGAACCCCAGGCUGAGUGGGCAGGAGGGUGACUUCUGCCACAUCCUCUGGCCUGUCCACCUGCUGUCACUCAGGCUUGGUUUUGCCCUUCGAGGCCCCCCAAGAGGAGGAAGGCAGGGCGAUGCUGCGCUCCUCACGGGGCACAAGGCACCGCUUCUCUCUUAGCUCACUGUUCCCGUCCUCUCACGCCAGGCAGGAUAAGGAGCUCCCUCCAGGGGGCCUUGGGUGCAGGCCUGCCUCCUAGGAGAGAGGAUUCUUCCCAGAAGGGCUGGGCCUACCAGGAGCCCCGGAAGGCAGGCAGGCAGGAGGGCAGGCGGGGAUUCAGCCCUGAAUUGCUUCAGAACUGGAGGGGCCCGAGUAGCCAAGGAGCCCAACUCCUCACUGACAAGCCCGGGAACCUCGGACCCAGACAUCAGGGGUCCAGCCUCGGGACGCCCCGGCUAGUCUGAAGCGGGAUUUGAACACCAGCCAGCACCAGCGCAGCUAGUUUCUGGGACCUCGACUUAAAGAAGGCCUGAAUGCCAUGGCAUGAUGGGAGGAGAUGGGAAAGAAGACCCUUGUCUUUGCAGAGGUGACGAACAUAUAUAACAACAGACUCUGGGCUGGUCUGGGGCUCUGCAGAACUUUUUUACUCUGCUUUAAAAGUAGUAUUUAUAAAUUAGAAAUUGAUAUGUUGUGAAAUAAAUGAUAUGUCAGAAAAGCA
rnacentral:lncRNA from 1 species